CAUUCUUCAUUUUCUGUUUUCUUUUUAAUGAGUCAUAGUGGAAUGCCCUUCCUUCCAUAAAGCAGCUCCUGAAGUCUCUUUGAGAAUUUAAAUCAUGCGCAAGUCUCUUAUCAGGGGCUCAGAUUCCCUCCCUACCUCCAAAUUGCAAGAUUGUUUUUUCUCCCUCAGAGGUGAAUUAGAGAAGACUAGGAUUCUUCCUCUGCAAACAAAUGAGGGCCAGACAAAUAUGUGACAAUUGUAUCGGAGGACAAGAGGACAGAAACUGUGAUGGGAGAGGAACAUCGGUCAGAAAUAUUUCUAACAAACAAAAAGCCUUUCACAUCCUCACUUUUUUGGCGCUCAAGAUUUCAUUCCUCUUUCAUUUAAAUUUUGGAGUUUUUCAGCCAGAGGAAGUGAGAAGAUGAGGUGAUUUCUUUGUUUCUGUCAAGCACCUUGAACAUGGGAGCCAAUCAUAGCAGAGUUAUUAGAGUCAAUUAGGGUAGAUUUGCAUAUUCACAACAUGGCUAUUGAGAAAAACUCUACAGAGAGAUUGCAAAUCUAAUAAUGGCUGUCAGCCAGUUAGAACACAGUGAUUAGCAUAGUGUAUGGUAAUUGAGAAAUAACCACAUAAUUAUUAUGCAAAUUGGGCACCCAUAACCAAUCAGUGUGCAUGGAAUUACACAGCUGGGAAAAAUGUAUUAUGAGUCAGUAACUGUAUGGUGUCCCUGCAUACUGAAAGAGGUUAAUCUACAAAUAAUUUACAUAAAACGUGAUGGCAUCUGUCAGAUGAGUUUUUUGUUCCUCGAUCAGUUCCCAUUUACAAUUUUUACCAGCUAAAAAAUUUUACUGACUGAUCUUGUGAACACUUUGCAGGGCUGGGCCAUGAACAAGAGAGCCAAGAACUGACUGGUAUGGAAACUGCUCUGUCCUUUCACCUUCUAGGGACCUACAUGCAUUGUCAAGGCAGCAUGCAGGAAAGGUUGCACUGCAACUACCUGUGCAAUACCUAUCCGAUCUAUCUGUCAAGCAAUUUUCUCCAGAACUAAACUCUGCACUACACUGGAGCUAGGUUGACACAAAAUAGCUUAUGUUAAUCUAAUUCAUGGGGGCGACGUCUACACUGCCCCCACUUGUGCAAAAAAUAUGCAAAUGAGGCAAAGUGUGCAAUAUUGCCCUACCAUAUUUGCAUAAUUGAGGCUUCGUUUUUGUGCAAAAAAACCUCUUGCGCUAGAGCCAUUCUUCCUGAAAAAAGCCUAACUGUCUAUACUGAAAUGUAGCUUCCACUGAUAUAAUUCACCUACUACAAGGACUUGAUAUCAUUUCACCUCCACGAGAGGUGUAGCACUGAAGUCAAUGUGAUAGGUUGAUGCAGUGCCAACGUAGACAUUGCAUUGUUUACAUCAACUGUUGUUGCUUUUUAGAAGCUGUCCUACAAUGCCGCACACUGACAGUGGAAUCAGUGCAAGUUAAAUCGAUGAUUAUGCGUACCCCCAGUCAAGGGAGUAUAAUGUGGAUAUGCAAGAUAGAUGUAAUCAUGGUGGUGGCUAUAGAGUGAUGAAACCUAGGUCAACUAAUUUUGUAGUAGAGGUUUGCCUAAAGCCUCACCAGGAUUAAAGCAGAACGCUAACCAUAGAAGAACAAUUUACAUAAGCACUACCCUUGCCACAAUGCUCUAUAUUACUUAUAUAUUUGUAUGCCCAUUAUUGAUAGUAUUUAUCAAAUCCACAUUAGACUGAUACCUA